rnacentral:rRNA from 1 species
CCUACGGGUGGCAGCAGUCGAGAAUCAUUCACAAUGGGGGAAACCCUGAUGGUGCGACGCCGCGUGGGGGAAUGAAGGUCUUCGGAUUGUAAACCCCUGUCAUGUGGGAGCAAAUUAAAAAGAUAGUACCACAAGAGGAAGAGACGGCUAACUCUGUGCCAGCAGCCGCGGUAAUACAGAGGUCUCAAGCGUGGUUCGGAAUCACUGGGCGUAAAGCGUGCGUAGGCUGUUUCGUAAGUCGUGUGUGAAAGGCGCGGGCUCAACCCGCGGACGGCACAUGAUACUGCGAGACUAGAGUAGUGGAGGGGGAACCGGAAUUCUCGGUGUAGCAGUGAAAUGCGUAGAUAUCGAGAGGAACACUCGUGGCGAAGGCGGGUUCCUGGACAUUAACUGACGCUGAGGCACGAAGGCCAGGGGAGCGAAAGGGAUUAGAUACCCCAGUAGUC